rnacentral:tRNA from 1 species
UCCCGGGUGGUGUAAUCGGCAGCAUAGCGGACUUUGAAUCCGUUGGUUCAGGUUCGAGCCCUGGCCCGGGAG